rnacentral:rRNA from 1 species
GCUUAAUUGCGUAUCAAUAAUAGAGACCUAGUAUACGCGUAGACUCAUGCGGUAGUGACCCCCCUUCACAGGGCGCGUGUCGCACGUAUGUUAUACGCACAGGUCUCCGAUAGCAACGAACGUGACCGUACUCUAUUGUUGCAGCGACAAUACCUUUCAACGGGUAUUACCGCUGCUUAGCAAGAUUCGUCUUGCAUUAAACUAUAGAGACCGCUGUUUCUUCUUUAAACCAGAGGAAGGAUACGGCAAUAACAGGUCUGUGAUGCCCUCAGAUGUUCCGGGCUGCACACGUGCUACAAUGAUCAUUGCACUGUGCAUCUAACCCGAUGUGCGCGGACGCCGCCGUGCGUAUAUACUUUAUUGUGUAUGCGUAUCGUGCGUGCGACCGCGCCGAACCUGCUUCGAAAGUAAACAUUUCCAGCGGGUAAUCCAUUAGAAGUAAUGACUCGCAUAGACCAUGGCACACUAUAUGUACCCGCGGGUUCUACCCGGCUCGCCUUUGUGUGAGUGCAGUGCGUAGCUCGUUGUUUGGUACGUGCCACUCCGUAUUAAUUCAUACGUGGGGAUAGAUCAUUGUUUAAUUGUUGGUCUCGGUCUUAACUAGGAAUGCCUUGUACGGGUCUUUGGUUCAACAUACCACCCGGAAUACGUCCCUGCCCUUUGUACACACCGCCCGUCGCUCUUACCGAUGGAUUAUACUAUGAAUCUAUAGGACUGCCAAAGUUGCUCUUCGGGCGCUUAGUGGAAAUAUAUAUGAAUAGUGGAU